rnacentral:lncRNA from 1 species
UAUCUACAGUUUUUACUUCAUAUUUUUUUUUCAUUUGUUAGUUACAUGUAUAGCCAAUGUAAAGGCUUCCUUGUUUUAUUUUAAAGGUGAAUGAAGAUCAGACUCAUUUCUCAUCUUAAUUUGCACUCUUAACAGUCUUCUGCUUUAUUUUAGCCAACACCUUUAACCACUCUCCCAUUUUAUUAACCUGUGAUAGUCCCAAAAAAAAUCAGGACCACCGGUUUCGGUCUAAAAAUGCAUGGCUCCUUAAUCUG